CGGCGGGAGUAACUAUGACUCUCUUAAGGUAGCCAAAUGCCUCGUCAUCUAAUUAAUGAGGCGCAUGAAUGGAUGAACGAGAUUCCCACUGUCCCUACCUACUGUCUAGCGAAACCACAGCCAAGGGAACGGUCUUGGCUGAAUCAGCGGGGAAAGAAGACCCAGUUUAGCUUGACUCUAAUCUGGCACUGUGAAGAGACAUGAGGGGUGUAGAAUAAGUGGGAGGCCCCGCUCCGCCGGGAGCCGCCAGUGAAAUACCACUACUCUUAUCGUUCCUCACUAACCCGGUGAGGCGGGGAGGCGAGCCCCGGUGGGCUCUCGGUUCUGGCAUCCAAGCCCUCCCCGGUGCCCCCGGCGACGGGGUGCACGCGGGGGCGGCGACCCGCUCCGGGGACAGUGGCAGGUGGGGAGUUUGGCUGGGGCGG
rnacentral:rRNA from 1 species